ensembl:lncRNA
AUCGCCUUUUUAAAAACAGAAGUAGCAUUAUUUUUUAAGGCUAAUUCAUGCUUAUGUAAACUGCAAAUUUUUAUAAUAUUAAAAAACAGUGACAGCUAACAAGCUCAUUAAACUGGUAUGCUUUUCACUGCACGUUUUGAAAAAAAGUAAAAUAAAAAAUAAAAUAAAUGUAAUUUUUAUAUAUUUUCAUGAAAAAGAUAUGAAAUAUUUUUAUUUUUAUUUAUUAAUUAAAAUGGUAAAAAAAGUAUUUUCAAUUUUUUUUUAUUUUGUUUUAUGUCACUUCUCGUUUAUUCGUUUAAUAAAACGUUGUUGGAUUUUUUUAUUUUAUAUUUUUAAUAAUGUUUCUAUAUUUAUAUUAUAUUUGACCUUUUUUUUUUUUAAAAUUUAAGCUUACAAAAAAAAAAAAAAAAAAAAAAAUUACUAAUUGCGUAUUCUUAAAUUAUCAUAUUAACAUAUUAGCCAACUAACGAGUCACAAAAUAAAGAACCAAAGCAAUAAAUUAAAAACCAAAGCAAUAAAUUAAAAACCAAAGCAACAAAUUAAAAAUCACCCAGUAAAUAUAUUACGGCCUAACUUAUUUUAUCCAUUUUUUUUUUUUUUUUUUUUUUGUUUUAUUUAUUCUCAUGUGAUGGUUUUUACUUGAACGAAUGUAAUUUAUUUUUUAACAUUUUUAUAAAUAAUUUGGCAAGAAAAUAAAAAAAAAAAAAAAAAACAUCAUAAGUAAAAAACAAUUUUAAGUACAUAGUUUUAAAAAGAAAAGAAAAAAAAAAAAAAAAACAUUAUAAGUAAAAAAAAUUUUAAAUAAAAAGUUUAAAAAAAAAAAAGAAAAAAAAGUAAAAAAAAAAAAAAACGUAAAAUACGAAGUUAUAUAUUUUUCCGUCUUGAUUGUAUACGUACGUACAUAUAUAUAUAUGUAGAAACGUGUAGCUCCUGAUUUAAACUCCAAUCGAAAAAAAAAAAAAAAAAAUGAACAUAAAAGAGUUACUGCAUAAUGAACUUAUUAUAAUAAAAUUAACUGAGUUCUUAAAUAUAUUAGAAAUACAAACUUUGAUUAUAGCAUUAAAAGUUAAUGUAAAAAUAAAUUUAUACUUUAUGAAAGAAUGUUUAUCUUUAAUAAGCAUAAAUACAAAUGUAGAAGAUGAUAAUUCACAACCAUUAUCUGAAACUGAUAAUGAUUAUUACACCACUGUUGAAAGUCUUGAGUAUCAUUCCGAUAUAAAUAGCUCGACUCAAUCUAGUCAUAACAAUAGUGAUUACUAUAUGUUAAAUACUUAUAGACACAAUGAUCAUAUAAUAGAAAAUUAUAAUAAUAAUACAUAUGAAUUAUGUUCGUCAACCGAUUUGUUUGCUGAAGAAAAUAUAAACAAUGAUUUUUUAGAUACCUUGGAAAUGUAUUGCACGCAGAAUAGUCAUGUAUAUACAGACAAUAAUUUAUACUAUGAAAUGACACAAAACGAUAAUUACACACAGCCGGACCUACAUGACAUGACAUAUACAACAACUACUGCUACUGCGGAUGCUGUUAAUAGUAGCAAGCACAAUAGUAUAUCAUGUGUUAAAAACAAAGUUAGUGACCUUAAUAAUGAUAAAGUCGAAGAAGAUGCUUGUGAUUACUAUUAUAAUAACAGUUAUUUAACAAAUUUUUAUAAUAAUCUCAAAAAAGAGAAUGAAAAAAAUGAUUUAAUUGUCAAAAAAGUAAGUAGCUAUUUAAAUUGGAGCAAAUUGAAAGUAGACACUGCAAAUGAGUAUGCUACCAGCGACGACGACUAUGACGGCUGUGACGAAUGUAGCAACUACGAAUCUAGCAACUACGAAUCUAGCAACUACGAAUUUAGCAACUACGAAUUUAGCAACUACGAAUCUACCAACAACAAAUCUAGCAACUACGAAUCUAGCAACUACGAAUAUAGCAACUACGAAUCUACCAACAACAAAUCUAGCAACAACAAGCCGACCGAAAAAGAGACCAACUCCGUGUUUGAUAAUAUUUGGUUGCUUUUUCACAUGCGCAACUACAUCAUAAACAUAAAUGAAAAAGCAAAAAAUAGCUUUUUAAAAAUUAAUGAAAAAAAUGCUAUACAAAAAAAUAAUAAAACAAAAUUAGAUAUAUUCCGUAUUUACACAUUUCAAAAUAAAUAUUAUUGUAUAUUGGAUGUUCCAUGGGCAAUGGUUUAUUAUAGUUUAUGUUUCAAUGCGAUAUGCUUACUUUGUAAUGUUAAAGUUGAUAAAAAUAGUAAGGUUGUGUUUAAAGAGUCAACUACUUUAAUAGAGUCAAACAAGGUGCUAUUAAAUUAUCUUCAUACAUUAUCUAGUUGGCNNNNNNNNNNNNNNNNNNNNNNNNNNNNNNNNNNNNNNNNNNNNNNNNNNNNNNNNNNNNNNNNNNNNNNNNNNNNNNNNNNNNNNNNNNNNNNNNNNNNAAAAAAAAAAAAAAAAAAAAAAAAAAAAAAAAGAAUUAAAAAUGACAUACAACCACGUAGCAUAAAAAGAAGUACAUACGAAAUCACAGAAAAGGAAAAACAUACUAUUUGUAAUACACAAAACAUGUUAACUAUGCAAUAUACAUAUGCAAAAGAAUAUAAAGACUUUCUAACGUUACAAACUUGUUUAAAUAACAACAAACCAGAUAUUUAUAACCAAUUAUGGUUUAACACCCUUGGUAAUAAAUCUACAUCGAAAAUAGAAAAUAAAGAAAGUGAUUAUUUUUAUAUAAAAAGAACACAUAUAUUUUGUAAUGAAUGCAUUAAUUAUGUUGAACAUAAAUCUAACAUAGACAAAAUACUAAAUUAUGUUAAAGAAGAUUAUUGCUUAUUAAUACAACUAGCUAUAACUUCUAAAACAUUUGAAAUGCCAAAAAACAAUUUUUUUUUAUGUAAUUAUUUUUUACUUAAAGAUAAAUAUAUUGAAUUUUUUAAAAACAUUAGCAGUGAAAUACAAUUAUUAAGAAAGCGUUUGAUACAAAACUUAAUAAAUAAAUUUAUUUUUUCUUUUACUUUAAAUUUUUAUAAAUUUGUAAUUCAACAUUUAUUGUUAUGUGAUUGCAAUAAAUUAUUUGCAAAGGAA